UACGUAGGGAGCAAGCGUUGUCCGGAAUCAUUGGGCGUAAAGCGCGCGUAGGCGGCCCUGUAAGUCCGCUGUGAAAGUCAAAGGCUCAACCUUUGAAAGCCGGUGGAUACUGCAGGGCUAGAGUCCGGAAGAGGCGAGUGGAAUUCCUGGUGUAACGGUGGAAUGCGCAGAUAUCAGGAGGAACACCAAUAGCGAAGGCAGCUCGCUGGGACGGUACUGACGCUAAGGCGCGAGAGCGUGGGGAGCGAACAGG
rnacentral:rRNA from 1 species